rnacentral:tRNA from 1 species
GGCUUUGUGCUGGAAUUGGUAGACAGACCGGACUUAAAAUCCGUUGAAACCUAGUUUCGUGUGGGUUCAAGUCCCACCAAAGCCACCA